rnacentral:rRNA from 1 species
UAUCUCUGUAGAGUCUGCAUAUCAAUAAGCGGAGGAAAAGAAACUAACUAGGAUUCCCUCAGUAACGGCGAGUGAAGCGGGAAGAGCUCAAAUUUGAAAUCUUAAAGGUUCUACCUUGACGAAUUGUAGUUUAAAGAAGUGUUUUCUGUUGAAGUUUCGGUAAAAGUUCUUUGGAAUAGGACAUCAUAGAGGGUGAGAAUCCCGUAUUUGACCGUUACUUUUCCAGCUGUGUGAUACACUUUCAAAGAGUCGGAUUGUUUGGGAAUGCAGUCCAAGAUGGGUGGUAAAUUUCAUCUAAAGCUAAAUAUUGGCGAGAGACCGAUAGCGAACAAGUACCGUGAGGGAAAGAUGAAAAGAACUUUGAAAAGAGAGUUAAACAGUACGUGAAAUUGUCAAAAGGGAAGCGUUUGACACCAGUGUUGUUUAGUUGAAAAUCAAUUCAAUAGUUUUUGAUUCUAAGUAGUAUUGACUUCAUCAGCUUGCUGCUUUCUUCUCAGAAAUUAUUGAAUGCACUUUUCAGUUAACAAGUCAACAUCAAUUUCUUUUGUUGUAAAAGGGUAAGAGGAAGGUGGCUUGCGCUUCGGCUCAAGUGUUUAUAGCCUUUUAUCUCUGCAAUCGGAGAGAUUGAGGUCUGCAGCGUAGAUCCUUCGGGGUUAGAUACAUUGGUGCUAAGCUAUAGCCUUGUAUAGACAACUUGUUGACUAUGCUCAGUCAUGCAGCUUACUCGCUGAUGCUAUUUUACCUACGCUUAGGAUGUUGAACGCGCACAGAGUCUC